rnacentral:rRNA from 1 species
UGAGGAAUAUUGCACAAUGGGCGAAAGCCUGAUGCAGCAACGCCGCGUGAGGGACGAAGGCCUUCGGGUCGUAAACCUCUUUUCUGGGGAAAGAGCAAGGACGGUACCUCAGGAAUAAGUCUCGGCUAACUACGUGCCAGCAGCCGCGGUAAAACGUAGGAGGCGAGCGUUAUCCGGAUUUACUGGGCGUAAAGCGCACGCAGGCGGCUUCGUUAGUCGGAUGUGAAAGCUCCUGGCUUAACUAGGAGAGGCCAUUCGAUACUGCGAGGCUUGAGGCAGGGAGAGGGGUGCGGAAUUCCCGGUGUAGUGGUGGAAUGCGUAGAUAUCGGGAGGAACACCUGUGGCGAAAGCGGCACCCUGGCCCUCGCCUGACGCUGAGGUGCGAAAGCGUGGGGAGUAAACAGG